UCCAGUGGUAGUCAGCUGUCCGGUGCUGUUUGAUGCCUGUGAUAGUGUUACACUGCUGGCAGAUGAAGGCACUGCCAUCUAAUACCUCUUGCCACACUCGCUGUUCUGGUGACAUGUGGCACUGGUAUCAGGCAGUGUCAUGCCUCCUUGAGAGUGCGCUGACCACCUUUUUCCUGUGGUUUGGUGCUAGUCUGGAAGCAUACAUG